AGAAUUUGAACAUAAAACAACAGAGAGCUAAACUGGGAAUCUGAGAUCUCAGUUCACAGAACUCAGAACCCAGUUCAAGCUUUUUACCUUAUACCCACUUCCACUGAAAAUUUUCCUCCUUCUCCAUUUCUCCUUCCCUGCAAAACCCUAAACCCCCUCCCCAACAGCUCUUUUUUUUCUUUCAAAACUUUCACAAAUCAUGGAUGAAUCUUUCUUGCUAAUGCUAUCAAAUCUCCUUCACCUCCACAACACUUUGGACCCAACAACUUCCCUUAUUUCCUCCCCUUCCACUCCCUCUGUUUCCUUUCCUUCUCUUUCCUCUCCUUCUCCUUCCUCCCUUCUCUCUUCCUCCUCCGCCGCUCCUCUCCUGUUCUUCACCCUCGCCUCCCUCCUUUCCUUCCUCGCUUCCUCCAAACCCCGCAAGCAAAAUCCCGACACCACCACUAAUUGCAACAAUAUUACUAAUCCUUCUGAUAAUUCUGUCCCUCCUACCGCCUCUGACAAUUCUGCUCUGCCUGAUACGGCCGCUUUCUCCGUCGCUGCCUUUCGCGCACUCUCUACCGAACACAUCUGGUCCUUGGAAGCCCC
rnacentral:misc_RNA from 1 species